AGUCUGUGUCAGAGGCCUAGAGGCUCUCACUAUGGCAUGGACCCUCAUCCUCGAGCCCCACUACUCAGAGGAGCUGGGAAGAAUUUCCACCCUUCCUAGUGGCAAGUCUCACUGUGAGAGCAGAGUGCCACCAGGCAAACAGGGCAGAAAGACUGCUUUAAGGAGAAUCCUUAUAUUGGGGGUUAUGAAGUGCAAUACACCCUCAUCCUCACGCUAACACUGGUACCAUGUAGCCCAAGCUUGUCUAACCUGCAGCCCGCGGGCUGUGUAUGGCCCAGGACAGCUUUGAAUGUGGCCCAACGCAAAUUUGUAAACUUUCUAAAACAUUAUGAGAUUUUUUUUUUUCUCAUCAGCUAUCAUUAGUGUGAGUGUAUGUUAUUUGUGACUCCAGACAAUUCUUCUUUUCCAAUGUGGCCCAGAGAAGCCAAAAGACUGGACACCCCUGAUGUGGCCCUUUCAUCCAUAGUAGCCUAUUUUGUCCUAAAGACGGUCUUGUGCAUUGAGUAGGCCAGGCCUCCACACUACCACAGUUUACAGGCAAGGAAUGUGAUAUUUCAUAGGAUGACCCUGACUGGCACCUACAUUGCUAGCCAAAGAAUGGCACAAAGAUGUGGACAGAAGAGACAACCUUAAGCAGCUGACUGCUGGCUCCUGCAACAGUGUCAUCAUGGCAUUUGUCCUGGGGUCCCAAGGAAAGAAAACAAAUCUGCGGCUGAGGAACAGGCUGAGUUGACAAAGCGGCUUCCACAGUAACAUAAGGACAAAGGGUGUAUGUAGAUAUGCACGUGGUAGCAGGUUCUACUAAAGGAACCUGGACCGACCAUUCUUACUCACAUUCUUUGGGAGCUGUAUUCUAAUACUUUCAGAAAAGCCAUGGGAACACACCAGAGUGACUGCUCGAGUAAAUAAGUAGCAUACACAGCAAGCCAAACCAUUGAUGUACACAUCACUGGGCCCAAUACUAUGAAAUCUCACAUAAGAAACUUGAAAGUGAAAGGUGGAAUUCUGAGGAUACUGGUUUUGCUUAAUAAACAGCAUUUCAACAGUUAUUGUCAUGAUAUUGCUACUGAUGCUGAACAAAGACCCAAGAACCAGGGUGAUGUUUAGCAUGGGCUGGCCUCAGCAGGACUGAAAGGACAUCAAUAAAGGAGAACAGAGAGAAGGAAGGAGGACAAGUGCCAACUUUGAGCAGGUAUCAGGUGUAUGUGGGGGCAAACCAUUUCUCCGUCCACCCUGAUGAUGAGUCCCCGUUUCCCUUUUUAAGGCCGGAUUUUUGCACCCUCACCCCACCUAAGGCAGCCAGGGCCCCACACUGCAAUACUCCUAGGUAACAUCCAUACUUUUUUUUUUUUUUGAGAUAGAGUCUCGCACUGUCACCCAGGUUGGAGUGCAAUGGCGAUAUCUCGGCUCACUGCAACCUCCGCCUCUCAGGUUCACGUGAUUCUCCCGCCUCAGCCUCCCGAGUAGCUGGGAUUACAGGCGCACACCACCAUACCCGGCUAAUUUUUUGUAUUUUUGGUAGAGACAGGGUUUCACUAUGUUGGCCAGACUGGCGUCGAACUCCUGACCUCGUGAUCUGCCCGCCUCGGCCUCCCAAAGUGCUGGGAUUACAGGCGUGAGCCACUGUGCCUGGCCAACAUCCAUACUCUUGAUCUGUUCCUCCACCCACAGCACUGCUUAUCUGUCCAGGCUCUCGUUCCUUCAUUACACAGCUUUCUGCUGGGAAUCAGAUAACUAAUAUAAAGAUGAUACUAACGAUUAAUGGAGGCUUCAUGGAGUCUCCCAGAAAUAUCACGUUUGUGGUUAAUUUCCAAAGGCUACUGGUAGGGAUUUCUCAAUCUACCAUGAGUCUGAAAAAGAGAUGAUUUUCAUCAGAGCUAUUCUCAGGACUCUUUAAAUCAGGCCCUCAAGUGCUUAUCUUCUUUGCCUAUGUUUAGAGUCAACCCUUAAAGCAAGUAAACAGUAUCCCCAUAUAUUUAGGAAUUCUCAAAAUCCUUGGAUUUGUUCAUACUAAGCUACUGUUAUACUCAUUUUUAAAAAAAUUUUUGGGCUCACUUUUCACCAUCUGCAUAAUGGGCAUAUAACAUAAAUCCAUUCUGUAUCACUUAAUCAUGUCUUAUCCUAGAUGAAUAAACACAUGAAAAAUCAGCCUGUAAAUCAGAGAAUGUAGCUGUGUUAACUGGAGAUGGGAAAGGGGAGCAGGUAGAAUUAAUAUUACCAUUAGUCAUGACUAAAGCCAAACUUAGCAGUUUUAAAACUAUUUAACCAUCCUGAUUGUAUAUUGGAAUCAACUGGGAAUUUUUCUUUUAACUACCAAUUCUUAGGCCCCAUCCCCAAAGAUUCUGAUUCAAUUGAUAUGAAGUAAGAUCUGAGCAUCAGAAUUUUUGUUUACAGUUCCUAAGGUAAUUCUCUUGUGCCACCAAGACUGAGAACCAGUGUUUUAAAAUAGUAUUGGGAAUACACAGUAGGUGAAAAACUGGCAUCAUAUUAGGUGGGUCUUGGUUGUGAUCAUGAGCUGAGGAGAGCUCUAUAUUCUGGAAGCACUCAGCAACGGAUAUUCAAUGGGGUUCACACCAUGGUUGCAGUUUGGGGGAAAGAACCCUUGGAGAGAAAGCAAGAACCACAAGAAUCACUGAAUCAUGGGUUAGAGGAGCCCUCCAAAAUCACCUCCUUCAAUCCUCUUCCUAAUUUCUGUGUGAGCACUGGCCAUUUAAUUUAUGUUUCUGGGCCUCAGUUCCCCUGUCCAUUAAAUAAACAGGUUGAAUUAAAUACAA